AUACGGAGGAUCCGAGCGUUAUCCGGAUUUAUUGGGUUUAAAGGGUGCGUAGGUGGUUUGAUAAGUCAGCGGUGAAAGUUUGCAGCUUAACUGUAAAAAUGCCGUUGAAACUGUCGGACUUGAGUGUAAAUGAGGUAGGCGGAAUGCGUGGUGUAGCGGUGAAAUGCAUAGAUAUCACGCAGAACUCCGAUUGCGAAGGCAGCUUACUAAGCUACAACAGACACUGAAGCACGAAAGCGUGGGGAUCAAACAGUAUUAGAUACCCUGGUAGUCCACGCAGUAAACGAUGAUUACUAGCUGUUUGCGAUACACAAUAAGCGGCUCAGCGAAAGCGUUAAGUAAUCCACCUGGGGAGUACGCCGGCAACGGUGAAACUCAAAUGAAUUGACGGGG
rnacentral:rRNA from 1 species